rnacentral:misc_RNA from 1 species
GAUGAAGAACGCAGCGAAAUGCGAUAAGUAAUGUGAAUUGCAGAAUUCAGUGAAUCAUCGAAUCUUUGAACGCACAUUGCGCCCCUUGGUAUUCCAUGGGGCAUGCCUGUUCGAGCGUCAUUUGUACCCUCAAGCUUUGCUUGGUGUUGGGUGUUUGUCCUCUCCUUUGCGUUUGGACUCGCCUUAAAGCAAUUGGCAGCCAGUGUUUUGGUAUUGAAGCGCAGCACAUUUUGCGAUUCUAGCCGAUAAUACUUGCGUCCAUAAGCCUUUUUUAACUUUUGACCUCGGAUCAGGUAGGGAUACCCGCUGAACUUAAGCAUAUCAAUAAGCGGAGGA